rnacentral:rRNA from 1 species
AGUCGAACGCGAAGAGGGAGCAAUCCCUCGAGUAGAGUGGCGAACGGGUGAGUAACGCGUGAAGAACCUGCCUUCAACAGGGGGAUAACACUCCCAACGGGGUGCUAAUACCGCAUGAGACCACGGGGUCGCAUGGCCCUGAGGUCAAAGGUGGCCUCUAUUUAUAAGCUACCGGUUGAAGAUGGCUUCGCGUCCCAUUAGCUAGUUGGCGGUGUAAAAGACCACCAAGGCGACGAUGGGUAGCUGGUCUGAGAGGAUGGUCAGCCACACUGGGACUGAGAUACGGCCCAGGCUCCUACGGGAGGCAGCAGUCGAGAGGCUUUGGCAAUGGGGGAAACCCUGACCAAGCGACGCCGCGUGGAGGAUGAANGCCCUUGGGUUGUAAACUCCUUUUGCUAGGGAAGAAAUGCGAUCAGGUUAAUAAUCUGGUCGUUUGACGGUACCUGGCGAAUAAGCUCCGGCUAACUCCGUGCCAGCAGCCGCGGGUAACACGGGGGGAGCAAGCGUUGUUCGGAAUCACUGGGCGUAAAGGGCGUGUAGGCGGUCAAGUAAGUGGGAUGUGAAAUCCCUCGGCUCACCCGAGGACCUGCAUCCCAAACUGCUUGGCUUGAGUAUGGGAGAGGAUGAGGGAAUUCCUGGUGUAGCGGUGAAUGCGUAAAUAUCAGGAGGAACGCCGGUGGCGAAGGCCCUCAUCUGGCCCAAUACUGACGCUGAAGGCGCGAAAGCUAGGGGAGCAAACGGG